ACGGGAGGCAGCAGUGGGGAAUAUUGGGCAAUGGGCGCAAGCCUGACCCAGCAACGCCGCGUGAGGGAAGAAGGUUUUCGGUAUGUAAAGCUCUAUCAGCAAGGAAGAAAAUGACGGUACUUGACUAAGAAGCUCCGGCUAAAUACGUGCCAGCAGCCGCGGUAAUACGUAUGGAGCAAGCGUUAUCCGGAUUUACUGGGUGUAAAGGGAGCGUAGACGGCAAAGCAAGUCUGAAGUGAAAUCCCGGGGCUCAACCCCGGAACUGCUUUGGAAACUGUUUAGCUAGAGUGCAGGAGAGGUAAGCAGAAUUCCUAGUGUAGCGGUGAAAUGCGUAGAUAUUAGGAGGAACACCAGUGGCGAAGGCGGCUUACUGGACUGUAACUGACGUUGAGGCUCGAAAGCGUGGGGAGCAAACAGGAUUAGAUACCCGGUA
rnacentral:rRNA from 1 species